GAGCAAAACCCAAAAGCAAUUAAAAAUAUAAAGAAACAAAAUAGCAAAGGGGUGCAUAAAUUCAUUCACGGUGUAUAAAAGAAAAAAACUAAUAAAUGGGCCUUGAGUCCAAAAGAAAAAAACAAAAACAAAAAAACGAAAGGGAGGAGGGCAGAGCCCUCAUGGCCCGUGUGUGCCCCACCCGACCCCAUCGUCUCCACACCUUAAUGGGAGAAAUGCAACCAGUAACAUGAAGAAAGAAAAAAUGUCAUUGAUAAGCUUUGACCAACAUGUAACUUUCUCAAAUUUUCACGGAAUUACAGAAAUGAAUAAAGAAAAUUC
rnacentral:lncRNA from 1 species